rnacentral:rRNA from 1 species
UACGUAGGCAGCGAGCGUUGUUCGGAAUUACUGGGCGUAAAGAGUGUGUAGGCGGUGCUCUAAGUUCGGUGUGAAAUCUCCUGGCUCAACUGGGAGGGUGCGCCGGAAACUGGAGUGCUUGAGCGUGGGAGAGGAAAGCGGAAUUCCUGGUGUAGCGGUGAAAUGCGUAGACAUCAGGAGGAACACCUGUGGUGUAGACGGCUUUCUGGACCAUAGCUGACGCUGAGACACGAAAGCGUGGGUAGCAAACAGG